rnacentral:lncRNA from 1 species
AUUCACAAUGAUUAAGAAUGUUAUACAAAUGCCAAGGGAGAGAAUGGUAUAGAAGAAUAUCCAGAUGCUAAAGAGACACCCAGUCGUGAAGAGCGUCUGUUAGAUUUUAAUAGGGUGUCUUCUGUUUAUGAAGCAAGAUGCACAGGAGAGAGGGGCUCUGAGACAAAACCAAAUGGCCUCCCCGGGAAGAUGUGUUCCAGUGCCAGCUCUGACGCGGGCGACACGGGCUCCGAAGCC